GAACCGUUUUAGCACCGGAACCGUUUAAAAGGUACAGAGAAGGCACCGGUAUUGAUAAAACCCAAACGAUACCCAAUCCUAUUCAUAUCCAGAGUGCACUGCAGCGCUAGACCCUCUGAGCAAGAGGUAACAUCAGAACUACGCAUGUCUAAGCAUUAUGCAUUACAGGCAAUAUAUGUUGUCACAAACCUAUGAUCACAUUACAUCAGUACAUUAAAUGCACAAUGCAAUAUAAAAGAAGAACUGGUGGUCACAUUUAGUUUUCUCUUGUGGCUCUUCCUAUGCAGGAACCCAAAGCAGUGUUGUAUCAUAUGCGAAAUUCACUAUGGUGUUGGUAGUGUGAGAUGGAGCGCAGUCAUGUACAGAGAGUAGAGCAAAGGGCUCAGCAUGCAACCCUGUGGGGCCUCUGUGCUGAGUGUCAGAGUGGGGGAAAGGGGCGGGCCCAUUCUGACCGCCUGUGGCCUGUUUGUCAAGUGACAAGUGACUAUUACAGUGAUAAUGCAAUUCCCUGUAUAUAAAUUAAUAUAACUGUUCUCUCCAGCAGAUCAAGGAUGUAGCCAUUUCACUAACAAACAGUGUCACAAUUCGACAUAGGUGGAAGGUGUGAAGAUUGUGCUGACAGAGCCGCUUCUGGGUCCUAUCUUUAUUCCAAAGUUAUUAAAAGGACACAAGACCAGGUAAGUUUCAGCAAAUGGCUUCUCAUAUUCUAAAGAAAGGUGUCAUAUAAUGUCGAUUUAAGUCUUAGAUUUGACUAAAAGUAUUUUAUGGGGAACGUGUUUAAAAUGUGUGGAAAGUGUUGGAAAGAAAAUGUCAUUCAAAUGGUAAAAAAAUCACCGAUACAUUUUCUUGUUUUUUACAGGUUCUUCUUCAGUGGCUUCCCUGCAAGACAUGUGGUAUAAAGUGGAAGAACACCUGGGAGCCCCUCUCUUACGUUGCUGCUCCUGGGUCAGCAACUGAGCAUUCCAGGAUCUCUGCAGGAGCAGAUUGAGCGGAAGGAGGGAUAAUUUGACACGAUAUGUUGUAAAAAUGUUUAACUGGCCUCAUCGCAUAAUAAAAUCUAUAAAAACAAACUGUUCAAAAUGUUGUGUUGAGCUUGUGAUCUUGUUGCAAUCUGUAAUGUCUCAGCAAAAGUGUGGUGAUAGUUUUACAUAGCCUAUUUAAUGUUUGAGAGUACACAGGUGUGCUGUAUUGAGUGGCUCAUGUUUAGUACCAAAUUUGUUAAGAGGGAAGUUAUCACCGAACCCUUCAGAAGAGCCAACUGCAUUCAAACCCUAUGUGAAUCUUAUUCUCAGGCCUAAUGAAGUGCUCCAACACUGUUGAAAUUGCAUACUGCUGAAUUGUAUGAUCAAUAGAGAAUUGAAUAAAACCCUUACAGUGCAAUUAGCUAAUUAGGCUUUCUAGAAUGAAGAUGUAAUGUCAAUGUAGACACGCAUGUUGUCGCUAUUCCGUCAGGACAGUUAAAAGCCAAGGAGUACUUCCUGUGCCACAUGAGAGCGGGCUGAGUAAAACCCAUAAAGGCUAGCCGACUAUUUUUAUAUACUUUAUAUAAAAACAAACUAUAUCGUUUUGAUCUGCUGAAAAUUGGGUUACAUUGCAGUUUUGCCAGCGCACUAAAUAACUUUUCAUGACGGCCUACCUACGUCCUGUUUAUCACCUACACGGGCUGCAUUGCGUCACCCUAUACUGGACACUGGGGUACACUACAGACAUAAAUAGGAAGCACACUCAGGAGGAGGAAUGACCUCACACAUGUGAUACUUAAUUAAUUGUUUCAAAUAACCCUGCCUCGUUAAAUCAAUGAGCUUUGUGUUUUGCU